rnacentral:misc_RNA from 1 species
GAACGCACAUUGCGCCCUCUGGUAUUCCGGGGGGCAUGCCUGUUCGAGCGUCAUUACAACCACUCAAGCCUCGGCUUGGUCUUGGGGUCCCGCGGUCUCGCGGCCCUUAAAAUCAGUGGCGGUGCCGUCUGGCUCUAAGCGUAGUAAUUCUCUCGCUAUAGGGUCCAGGUGGUGGCUUGCCAAAACCCCCCAUUUUUCUAUGGUUGACCUCGGAUCAGGUAGGGAUACCCGCUGAACUUAAG